AUUGAACGCUGGCGGCAUGCCUUACACAUGCAGGUCGAACGGCAGCACGGGUGCUUGCACCUGGUGGCGAGUGGCGAACGGGUGAGUAAUACAUCGGAACAUGUCCUGUAGUGGGGGAUAGCCCGGCGAAAGCCGGAUUAAUACCGCAUACGAUCUACGGAUGAAAGCGGGGGACCUUCGGGCCUCGCGCUAUAGGGUUGGCCGAUGGCUGAUUAGCUAGUUGGUGGGGUAAAGGCCUACCAAGGCGACGAUCAGUAGCUGGUCUGAGAGGACGACCAGCCACACUGGGACUGAGACACGGCCCAGACUCCUUCGGGAGGCAGCAGUGGGGAAUGUUGGACAAUGGGCGAAAGCCUGAUCCAGCAAUGCCGCGUGUGUGAAGAAGGCCUUCGGGUUGUAAAGCACUUUUGUCCGGAAAGAAAGCCUUGGCCCUAAUACGGUCGGGGGAUGACGGUACCGGAAGAAUAAGCACCGGCUAACUACGUG
rnacentral:rRNA from 1 species